rnacentral:rRNA from 1 species
UACGUAGGGUGCAAGCGUUAAUCGGAAUUACUGGGCGUAAAGCGUGCGCAGGCGGUUGUGCAAGACAGAUGUGAAAUCCCCGGGCUCAACCUGGGAACUGCAUUUGUGACUGCAUGGCUAGAGUACGGCAGAGGGGGAUGGAAUUCCGCGUGUAGCAGUGAAAUGCGUAGAUAUGCGGAGGAACACCGAUGGCGAAGGCAAUCCCCCUGGGCCUGUACUGACGCUCAUGCACGAAAGCGUGGGGAGCAAACAGG